UGUAGGGCGUGAGGUGUGGAUUAUAGGGUGUAGAUUGUAGGGCGUGGGGUGUGGAUGGACAAGGUGAAGCAAAGAACAUACCACAACUCUCUGGAACAAGGGUUAGGCAGCCAGGAAGGAAAAUACUAACAGUAUAUGUCAAUACAUUGUAAAUACAGUGUUAUAAAAUAAUGUAUUCAUGAAUGAGUCUCUUGUUACAGUAACUUCUAAUUAUAUAUCUCGGUAGAUGUAGAUGUAAUAGCUGAGAGUCUGCCGCUAAGAGUUUGAUAGGACUUUAUACCUUCAUCUACAUUUCUGUACACAUGCCCCUGUACUGUAGAUCCAAGGUUUCACACAAUGUUCUCACCAGUGAAAUCACACACCUUGAAAAAAUACUAAUUUAUGGCAUAGCGCUUCUAGGUUCUAUUUACCCAAACUAAUUCUUCCUGAGUAGCCCCAUCCUCAAACGAGGAGACAGGGAUAAGGUAACCAAGGUAUUUAUUGAAAACCGGGGGGAAAUGGGGUGCAGGUCAGGGGGAGCUCUGGCGGGUAGCAGGGAACCAGGAACUGAGGCUACGGCUUAGGCAAGGGAAGUAGGGGCAGGGUAAGCAGGUCCGGAGCGGAAUCCAAGGGAGCAGUAGAGCAGGGGUCCAGGGCUGGGAAGCUGGACUUACGAGACGAGGGACUGGAGACAGGGACCAGAGUCAGAGCAGACGGAACUGUAGCGGAGAUAAGAGCAGUGUCAGACUCGGGAAAACAGGCACCACAGGAUAGGUAUUUUCAUUAUUAAACAUGCAAUGAACUACACGGAGGGAAAAGUACACUGCAUUCAGCACCACAAACAGAACUCUUGUUAACGGGUAUGCACAAAAAACACAAGAAAGAGAGAGAACUCAAUAUUACAUUUAAACUAUUCAAUCAGUGUGAGGAGUGAAGUCUCUGAUAGGCAUUGACUAGAGCAGUGAAGUCAGGUAUAGUUUCUGAUGUCGCUAUGCGCAGGAUUGCUGAGAGGUGAGAGUCAGUAAGAGAUGAUCUGUGCCUUGACUUGUUAUAUUUCAUCACUGAAAAUGCCUGUUCACAUACAUAGGUUGACCCAAACAGUGCAAACAUCUUCUGAGCGUGACUCUUUAUCUUUGGAAAGUUUUGUCGUCGAGAGAUGCAUAGAACCUUGUCAGUGACAUUGUUUUGAGUAGUUCUCCAAUCACUGCAUCAGACUGAAGAUCGAUAAGCUCAAGUUGCAGGUCAGUGGGAGCGUUAUCCACAUUGAACCUGAAAGGAGAGGAAACCAACAGCAUGUCAUUUUCCAACACUUUGAAAUCCUCAAAAUGACAAGAAAACUCAGCGUUCAAAGCACGCAGCAGCGAUGUAUACUUCUCCUGCUGGUCAUCUGAUAGGGAACAGACUAGUAGUGUCGGAAGGUGGGUGAGAUUGUUGGCUUCUACUUGGGGGUCAGGAGGAGUCAUUUUCCUUUGAAGGCUUUGACAAGGCUGUACAUCUGAUGUGCUAAAAGGCUUGUAGUUUGGAAUUCAGUUCAUUCAUGAGGUCCAUGAUGUCCACGGCGAAGGCAAAAUCAGACAACCAUUCUUUAUAUUGCAGUUGAGAGAAAUCAUAAUUUUCCUUUCAUUUACAAAAACUCAGCAAUCUCCGACUUCAGGUCCCAGAUUCUUUUAAGCACCUUCCCCAAACUCAGCCAUCUCAUGUUUGUGUGGUAGGGGAGCUCUGUCUCUUCCAACAGUGAGACAAACUGCCUGUGGUUUAGAUUUUGCUCUUAUGAAGUUUACCACUUUAGUGACUGUAUCCACAACAUGGCUCUUUUCAGAACACAUUUACAGAACACCUCCUGAUGAAUAAUGCAAUGCAGGAAAAUAAUUUCUGGGUUCAACUAAACUACUUGAUCUUGUGUCCUUUUCAAAAGGUCAACGUUUUUUCCUGUCAAGUUUGGGCACAGUCACACUGGAUAAAGUCCCAGCUUUGCUACACACUUAUUAACCUCCUCCAAUAAAUCUUUCCCUGUGGUUGUGCUCUUCAUUGACUGCACUGAAGCAAGCUCCUCUGUCAUUUCAAAGUCUGGGGUUUUGCCUCGUCAGAACAUCAACAACUGCUCCGUGUCAGGUGCAUCAAUGCUCUCAUCCAGGUAAAAGGAGAAAUAGUUUAAAUCCUUUACCUCGUCGAAUCAGGUCCGCGGGCCAUAUUGAAUCAGGUUCACGGGCCAUAUUGAAUCAGGUUCACGGGCCAUAUUGAAUCAGGUUCGCGGGCCAUGUUGAAUCAGGUCCGCGGGCCAUAUUGAAUCAGGUUUGCGGGCCAUGUUGAAUCAGGUUUGCGGGCUAUAUUGAAUCAGGUUCGCGGGCCAUAUUGAAUCAGGUUCACGGGCCAUAUUGAAUCAGGUUUGCGGGCCAUAUUGAAUCAGGUUCGCGGGCCAUAUUGAAUCAGGUUCGCGGGCCAUGUUGAAUCAGGUUCGCGGGCCAUAUUGAAUCAGGUUUGCGGGCCAUGUUGAAUCAGGUUUGCGGGCUAUAUUGAAUCAGGUUCGCGGGCCAUAUUGAAUCAGGUUCACGGGCCAUAUUGAAUCAGGUUUGCGGGCCAUGUUGAAUCAGGUUCGCGGCCAUAUUGAAUCAGGUUCGCGUGCCAUAUUGAACCAGGUUCGCGGGCCAUGUUGAAUCAGGUCCGCGGGCCAUAUUGAAUCAGGUUCGCGGGCCAUGUUGAAUCAGGUUCGCGGGCCAUAUUGAAUCAGGUUCGCGGGCCAUAUUGAAUCAGGUACACGGGCCAUAUUGAAUCAGGUUCGCGGGCCAUAUUGAAUCAGGUUCGCGGGCCAUAUUGAAUCAGGUUCACGGGCCAUAUUGAAUCAGGUCCGCGGGCCAUAUUGAAUCAGGUUCACGGGCCAUAUUGAAUCAGGUUCACGGGCCAUAUUGAAUCAGGUUCACGGGCCAUAUUGAAUCAGGUUCGCGGGCCAUGUUGAAUCAGGUUCGCGGGCCAUAUUGAAUCAGGUUCGCGGGCCAUAUUGAAUCAGGUCCGCGAGCCAAGUACGGCCCCCGGGUCGGCCUUUGCCCAGGCCUGGUGUAGAUGAAGGGGAGGAGACACGUUAAACAACGAUUUUUAAGCCUUGAUAUAAUUGAGACAUGGAUUGUGUAUGUGUGCCAUUCAGAGAGUAAAUGGGCAAGACAAAAGAUUGAAGUACCUUUGAACGGGGGGUACCAGGAGCCAGGCGCAGCAGUUUGUGUCGAGAACUGCAACGCUGCUGGGUUUUUCACACUUAGCAGUUUCCGUGUGUAUCAAGAAUGGUCCACCACCUAAAGGACAUCCAGCGAACUUGACACCUGUGGGAGGCAUUGGAGUCAACAUGAGCCAGUGUCCCUGUAGAACACUUUCAACACUUUGUAGAGUCCAAGACCCAACGUAUUGAGGUUAUUCUGAGGGCAAAAUGAGGGUGGGGGGGUGCAACGUGUUCUUUGGGAGGGUGCACCGUGUUCCUCGAAGAACAUAAUCAGCUGUUGAAGCAUGUGCAUCUGAGGGAGAGAGAGGAGGAGAUGUGUGUAAAUCUCAGGUGUGACUGUCCCACAACUCAUUCCUCUUCUGGUUAGUUAAGGAAGUCCCCUCCCUCUGACGCAUAUAGGGCCUGAGAAAACAUUGUGGUUUUUUUGUGAGACACAGGACCUGACAAAACAGUUACAACCCUUUGUCUACAACGUGAGUUGCAGACAAACUGUUAGCCAUGAUGGAUGGAGUUGUCACUCGUGGUCUGGCUUGGGGAAGGGAAGGGAUCUCAGAAAGGGAUGUUUGGGAGGCCUGCUCUCACAAGCUCUUUGCUGACUAAACGUCUCACUUUUCCACACACAC